CCUGGUUAAACAACCCUGAAUGGAGAUGUAGGUGCUUAAACAAAAAACAAUUGCUUUAUUCCGUAUGGGUUUGGAUCUAGAGAGGAGAAAAUUAAUUCAAUGCAAGUCUUACACUUAGAUAAGAAAUAACAUUUAAAUGCUCCAGACUAAAUGAAGUCAAGAAUAAAACCAUUGCUUAUCAGAGAUGACUAGAAAUAGUGCAACUCCUGCCUAUCCACCCUUGAGGAUUACUACUUGUAGAUGAAGUAUAAAUGUUUUACAGAAGUCCAUGGUUUGAACAGUAGUAGUACCCCUCAGUUUUGGGUAUUGCAUCCCUUGAGUUGAAAACAAGGCAUUUAAAAGGAGAACUUGUUUUUAAAAUGACUACUCUUCACAAGUGUCAACAAAUGCUUCAGUACUUUGCCAUUUUUUUUUGUUUGUUGGACUAAACCAAGUCUCAUGCAUGUUAAAGGAAGUGCUCUUCUGAAGGCUGUGUGGGAGUCCCUGCUCUCUCAGUUUGUGAAAGCUUCAGUAGCAAGAUAUUACAAUAGUGAUAGCAUAAUCAUAUUUUGGGACAGAGACUUAUGUGGGGGUCUUAACCCUAGUUCACAGUGUAGCCCAAGUUAGCCUGUUACUUGUAAUCCUGCCUUAGCUAACUUCCAGGGUGCUGAGAUUAUAGGAAUGAGCUCUUGACUAUUCAAAUACUCAUAUACAUAGGAACUUUGAAGAUUUUGGUUUAGAUAAUCUGUCAGGAACAUCAACCAGGGAGAAUGAUUUCAGGAAGGAACCAAGGAAGAGUUGAGUUCUUCAUAGAUGCUUGGACUCGAUGUGUGACUCAUUCCAGACUGAUAAGUGCUGUGCACAUUGAAGUUAAGUUAUGUUACGUAACUAGGCAAAUCUUUGCGUGUAAUCUAAUGGGCCUCAUCUGUUAAGCUUGGACUUCUAACCCAGUGAGUGGUUAGGAGAAGGAUGAUUUUGUUUUGUAGUGCUAAGGAUGAGGUAUAGGUUGUCAUUGGACAAGUCACUCCUUACCACACUGCCCUGCCUCAUUUGUUAGGAUGAUAAUAAAUACCUAAUUCAGGAAUGUCCAGAAAGCACUUAAGGGUUCCUGCCACAAUACUUACUAUUUAAUUUCUCAGGAUGAACUUUAGAACUUGAAGGAAACAAUGAGUUUGGUUGCAAACCUUAGAGGCUACGAUCUAUAGUUUUGUUUUUGAUUUUGAAACGGUCUUUCUUGCUUUGUAACCCAGGCUGGUCUUGAACUGGUGGUAAUCUUGUCAGUCUUGGGACUGCAAUGCAAGGAUGUGCUACCAUGUAUGGCAGAUGGGUUGAUUUUUGAGACUGCCAACUGUAAGUAGCCAGGCUAAUCUUCGACGACUCCUGCGUCAGCACUCCAAAGUGCUGAGUUACAGAUCUGAGCUGUCAUGCCUCACUUAAGAUCUCCAACUUGCACAUAAAGUGAUUUGAGGUGUUGUUCUGAGUUAGGUUUUCUUGAAAGAUGUCUACAUUAAAGUUCCUAUUAACCUAAACUGGAAAAUGUCUAUUAAGAUAGCAAAAUGCCAAAACUAUGUCUGGUUUUGUCUUUAUGAAUGCUCUUAGGGUUUCAAAAUGGCUAUAUGAAUGUAUGAAGUUUCAGCUUGUUCCGUACCCACAACAUGAAAUGUGUGCAUUUUAGUUCUUGAUUUUCUGUAAAUACCUGCUUAUUCAUUUAGUGUUAAUGCCAUCUGUAGUAUCAGGUUGUAGCUCUGGAGAGGGUUGGUUAGCAUGGAUAACAUUGUGUACCUGAGGGCUGGAAAGGUAACUUGGCAACUGAGUGUGCUUGUUGGUGCUCUUCCUUAGGAAGUACUAACACUUCCUAAGGAAGUCUAGCUUCGUGGGCACUGCACAUGUUGCUACCAAGCCUAUCUAACCUGGGUUUGAUCCUGAGGGCCUAGAGAGACUUAACCAUUGACUUGUAUGCAAGCACUCCCACACAAUAUAAAAACUAAAACUUGCAGAGUCCUGUUUUAUAUUCCUCCAGACUACAUUUCUGUACAAGUAAAAAUGAGUUUCUGUAGAAUAAAUGUAAAUCCAUUUUGAUCAC
rnacentral:lncRNA from 1 species